CCCUGCCGUUUGAUUGAAAAGGCAGCAUGGCGUCGGCGGCCUGUAAAAUAUUUAAAUGGCAUUUUUGGGCGAAGUUAAUUUAAACUUAAAGCGGCAUUUUCAAAUGUGAUGUACUGAAUAUGCUUCUUCGACGUGGUAAACCACUCGGUUUAAAAAAAAGGGGGAAUGUAGGCUUGCCUUGAACUGACAUGGAUUAGGAGUCUGGCGUGCCACACAACAGCUGUAUUUUCCUCAGUGGUUCUAUUGUUUUCUUAAGAAUAUUAUAUCCGGUCGAGCCAUCCAAAUUCAUGCCAAACAUUUUCCCACCGAGCGCUUCGGAAUCACCGAAGCCCAAAAGAUUUUUCAUUUUCAGCGGGAAGAGAAGAACCGUUACUGAACCGGCUUAAGAACUUGGCAGAAAGAUUCUACCAUGGCCAUUUCUACCACGGAAAUCCGCCUCAAGUCCUCCACCCCAAAGGCAGCCCAUCCAUGCCAGCUGCUUCAUCCUUCUUGGUGAGAAAAUGUUCCUUUGCCUUGGGAGAUCCAAUCUUGGAGGCCUCCAGACUGCAAUUACCGUAUCAGCUCACUAUCUCCUGCAACAGCUCAGGUCGCACGAAGGAUGCCGCCUCUCUAGUCCCGCGUGACAAACUCCCCGUAUUCGCACAUCACCCAGGAAGCGUUUUAGAAGAUGACAACGCAAGUCCGAAAGAUUUCUUCCUGGAUGGUAAGGAAGGAGAACUCCGAAGGGAAAGCAACAGAUAUACGAGCCUUCUAAAGAAGUUGAUUUAAUCAGGCUUCAGAGACGGUCGUUGAUAGAUAUAACAAAACAGAAAACCUUGGCCUUUUACGGAAUAAAAUGUCAAUACUUCACUGCCAGUGCGAAUAAAAUAUAACCCUGCGGUAUUAUCGACGUUCAAAUCUAGGAAUGUGAAACACUCUGUUAAUGAGGUCCUUAUCCUUGUUGUGUUUUUCACAUUUUUAAUAGGUUUCGUGCAAAAAGUAAGUUUUUCACGAAAAGUCAAGCACUUGUAUUUUUCGAAGUCACCAGGGAUCUAAGUUGAGGGAAGACUUAAUUUUUAUCUGGUACAAGUAGUCCUCGACUUACGGCAGUUCAUUUAGUGACCGUUCAAAGUUAUAACGGCACUGGAAAAAGUGAUUUACAACCAUUUUUCACACUUACGAUGUUGCAACGUCCCCAGGGUCCCAUGAUCAGAAUCAAGACGCUUGGCAACUGACUCAUACUUCUGACGGGGAGUGUGUGUGUCACGUGAUCUCCUUUUGCGACCUGGCGAGCAAAGUCAAUGGGAUUCACUUAACAACCAUGUUACUAACGUAGUCACUGCUGUGAUUCACUUUGCAACUGUGGCAAGAAAGAUCGUAAAAUGGGGGCAACAUUCAGUUAACGACUGUUUCGCCUAGCAACCAAAAUUUGGGACUCAGUUGUGGUCGUAAGUUGAGGACUACCUGUAAUUCUGGGAGAAUUAGCAGGGGCCAGAAGGAGAAAUUAGAAAUAGCCGAUUUUAACACGGAUUGAUAGACUGAAAAGCAAUGGAAGAUUGAUGAUACAGGCAGCGUUCACGUUGGACCAACAGUUAUGUGGUUGACUAAUGGGGUUGGACUAGAAGACCUCCAAGGUCCCCGUUGUAUUCUGAUUGGUUGAUUGCUCCAUAAUCCUAAAUUGCAAAAGAAUAUCCUUCUUUUGUGAGCUCCCUUUGAACUUGUGGGUGGGGUGCUUCAGGAUGCGGCUUUGCCCUCGCGAAGUUAGGUGUGAGAUGCUCACCAGAUUUUAAAUGAAAGGAUAAAACGCGUCUUUUUUCAUCAAAAGAGAACAUUAGGUUGAAAAAUCAACGUUUGUGCCUCCAACCUUUGUCGUAAAGGGGCGUUUUCACCACCGUCUAGCUCUUAAUAGAGACAGAAAGAUGCAGGAACAGAACUGGAGGUCAAACCAAUAAGAAGAAGGGCUCUGGAAAU